rnacentral:misc_RNA from 1 species
CGCACAUUGCGCCUGCUAGCAUUCUGGCAGGCAUGCCUGUUCGAGCGUCAUUUCAACCCUCAAACUUUAUAGUUUGGUGUUGAGGUUUCUAUAUUUAUAGGCCUCUAAAUCUAUUGGCAGUACGUCAUGAACUCCAAGUGUAGUAAACUUUUAUUCACUGGGUGGUUAUUGAUACUACUUGCCGUAAAACACAGGUACUUUCGAGUCCUAAUUUUUACAAGGUUGACCUCGGAUCAGGUAGGAAUACCCGCUGAACUUAA